rnacentral:tRNA from 1 species
GUGGGUAUAGCUCAGUUGGUUAGAGCGCCAGAUUGUGGCUCUGGAAGUCGUGGGUUCAAAUCCCGUUACCCACCCCA